AUUGAACGCUGGCGGCAUGCUUUACACAUGCAAGUCGAACGGGCUUAGGGGCUUGCUCCUAAGUUAGUGGCGAACGGGUGAGUAAUGCAUCGGAACGUACUGUGUAGUGGGGGAUAACCCGGCGAAAGUCGGAUUAAUACCGCAUACGAUCUAAGGAUGAAAGCAGGGGAUCGCAAGACCUUGCGCUAUACGAGCGGCCGAUGUCGGAUUAGCUAGUUGGUAGGGUAAAGGCCUACCAAGGCAACGAUCCGUAGCGGGUCUGAGAGGAUGAUCCGCCACACUGGGACUGAGACACGGCCCAGACUCCUACGGGAGGCAGCAGUGGGGAAUUUUGGACAAUGGGCGAAAGCCUGAUCCAGCCAUGCCGCGUGAGUGAAGAAGGCCUUCGGGUUGUAAAGCUCUUUUGUCCGGGAGCAAAUCCUGUUCACUAAUACUGAGCGGGGCUGAGAGUACCGGAAGAAUAAGCACCGGCUAACUACGUGCCAGCCGCCGCCGUAAAAC
rnacentral:rRNA from 1 species